GAUGAACGCUGGCGGCGUGCCUAAUACAUGCAAGUCGAGUGAAGCGGGAACGGGGGAGUAACACGUGGAUAACCUCCUAUAAGACUGGGAUAACUUCGGGAAACCGGAGCUAAACCGGAUACGUAUAGAUGAAUCCGCGCUGCAUUGGCUAGUUGGUCAGGUAACGGCUUACCAAGGCAACGAUGCCUAGCCGACCUGAGAGGGUGAUCGGCCACACUGGAACUGAGAAACGGGCCAGACUCCUACGGGAGGCAGCAGGAGGGAAUCUUCCGAAAUGGGCGAAAGCCUGACGGAGCAACGCCGCGUGAUUGAUGAAGGUCUUCGGAUCGUAAAACCCUGUUAUUAGGGAAGCGGUACCUAAUCAGAAAGCCACGGCUAACUACGUGCCAGCAGCCGCGGUAAUAC
rnacentral:rRNA from 1 species